AGGUAGUUCGCUACUGACUACAGCUACUGCUUAAAAAAUGUAGCGAACUAUUUCGCUAUUUCGCUACGCUAUCUUUUUUAGUUUUACUGUUUUUGGAGCGCCUACUAACUCAGGCUGAAAUGUAACCUAUAACAAAUCGACUUACGAGUAGCAACAGUAAACACAAAGCAACAUGUUUGUAUAAGCACUACAGUGUUCAAGAGUGCAAAUUGACUAUUGAGUAUUGACUUUAACCAAACCAUAUUAACUAUGACCAAACCGUGUCUCAAUAUCAUGCUAUUCUAUCAAGGUGCUAACAAUUUUAAAAAGUAGCGAAUAGCGAUUCGCUGUUUGAAAAGUAGUCAACUACUUGGCUACUUUUAGGCAAAAUGUAGUUCGCUAUAACUACAGCUACUGUUUUAAAAAAGUAGUCAAAAACUACUGGCUACUUGAAAAUUGUAGUUCGCUACAGUAGCGAACUACAACUAUACUUCGCUACUACCCACCCUUGCGUUUCGAGCGAAGGUCCUUUGUCGGGAAUAAUAUACGUUUCAGUUUAUUUAACAAGAUAAAGAUUGUACACAAUAAACAAG